AUACUUGCCUGGCAGGGGAGAUAACAUGAUCAAAGGUUAUUUUUCCAAGACAAGGCUUAUUCAUUGCACUCGUGAUAUGCUGACCUCUAUGAUUUCCCCGAAUGUGGGAAACUGAAUAAUUGGUGAAUUGGUGCUGGUGAGGAAGCUGUGUUUGCACUUCUCCUGC
ensembl:snRNA U1 U1 spliceosomal RNA